AGUGAAGGAGCCAUCUUGGAGAGAUGGUACCACCACUAUCAAGCCUUUAACUCACUCCAGCCGGAGGCUUCAUCUGCACUGACUGCCCCAAGUUCAAAUUUUCCAGUCAAACCAUACAACCACAAGAGAGAGGAUAAGCAACCCCAUUGGAGACCAGAGCUUCAGCAGAAGGAGUAGCAUCAUCAGAAACCAGGGCACUGAAUACAAUGGUGAGACCACAAUGGCCUCUUCUGUGUGGUGCUGCAGGAACCCAGGAAGACGGAGAGCAGCAGACCCAGAAGGACACAGCUGGAAGCAGAAGUGAGGACUCAGACUCCAUCUCACUCACGACACACGGACAUGGCAUCGCUACGAAGGCGGUGACGAUCAGGUUUCAAAGGACAAUGCAGCACGCUGAGGAGAAACCAUCUCCAGAAAGCAAGGACCCCUAAGACUCGCAAGAUAAAAGGACCUUAUUUUCUUGGCAAGCUCUGUAGAUGUUCUGCAAUGACGAAUGAUAUGACUGUUAUCUUGACACCGUACUCUCCCAUGUUGAAACUGUUUAUGAGAACCAAACAUCAUAUGAAGAACAGAUUGCCAGACGCUAAGUAAAUCAUUGUAAAGGGUGGUGAGUCAAGUAUUGCCAGUUUUACCCACAUUGUCAUUGUUAUGAUGUAACACAUUCCUUAAGACUGAUAUUGUCUCCAAAUUUGGGCACAAAAGCCUCCUCUUGAUCAGUUGGCUGAGAACCUCCGCCUCCUGAUAAUGUCCCACUCAGACACAGCUGCAGAGACCCACGCAUCCAGAUUUGGACAGACACCCAACCUGAGUUAAGCACAAAGAACAACCCAGAAAAGAUAGAAUAUUUUAAAAGGUGUGCGGAGAUUACACAAACUGUAAAUUUCAACCCUUGCUCAAGCAAUAAACCCUGUAAUCCUCUAA